rnacentral:rRNA from 1 species
UACGGAGGGGGCUAGCGUUGUUCGGAAUCACUGGGCGUAAAGCGCACGCAGGCGGAUCGAUAAGUCGGGGGUGAAAGCCCGGGGCUCAACCUCGGAAUUGCCUUCGAUACUGUCGGUCUCGAGUCCGGGAGAGGUGAGUGGAAUUCCUAGUGUAGAGGUGAAAUUCGUAGAUAUUAGGAAGAACACCAGUGGCGAAGGCGGCUCACGGGCCCGGUACUGACCCUCAGGUGCGAAAGCGUGGGGAGCAAACAGG